AUGGCUUCAUCCAGUUCCAUGACGAGGCCACCAUGUGCUAACAAAGAAGACAUGCUGAACAAGUGGGAGGACACAUCUUUGGACAAGGUGAAGGAGAAAGAUGUCAACAUCCCGCCAUGUUGGUGUGGAGAUGUUUGCAAGGUGAAGGUGUCCAUCGACUGA
rnacentral:rRNA from 1 species